UGAAUACGAGAUGCUACGGCGUCGAAGCAGUCUAUGUCAUACUUCCAAGAAAAGCUUGCACUGUCAUAAACAAAUAAUGCCUGUACCAUAACCGACACAGGUGGGUAGGUAGAGUAUACUAAGGGGCGCGAGAUAACUCUCUCUAAGGAACUCGGCAAAAUGACUCCGUAACUUCGGGAGAAGGAGUGCCUUAUUUAUAAGGCUGCAAUAACAAGAUCCAAGCAACUGUUUACCAAAAACACAGGUCUCCGCUAAGUCGUAAGACGAUGUAUGGGGGCUGACGCCUGCCCAGUGCCAGAAGGUUAAAGAAGUUGGUUAGCAUCCGCGAAGCUGAUAACUGAAGCCCUGGUGAACGGCGGCCGUAACAAUAACGGUCCUAAGGUAGCGAAAUUCCUUGUCGGGUAAGUUCCGACCCGCACGAAAGGCGUAAUGAUUUGGAUACUGUCUCGGAGAGGGGCUCGGUGAAAUAGACUUGUCUGUGAAGAUGCGGACUACCUGCACCAGGACAGAAAGACCCUAUGAAGCUUUACUGUAACCUGAAAUUGAAAUUGGACUUUACUUGCGCAGUAUAGGUGGGAGGCGUUGAGAAUAUUCUUGCGGGAUUAUUGGAGCCAUCAGUGAGAUACCACUCUUGUAAUGUUAGAUUUCUAACUUUGUAUCAUUAUCUGGUCAAAGAACAGUUUCAGGCGGGCAGUUUGACUGGGGCGGUCGCCUCCUAAACGGUAACGGAGGCGCACAAAGGUUUCCUCUGAACGGGUAGAAAUCGUAUCUAGAGUGUAAAGGCAUAAGGAAGCUUGACUGUGAGACCUACAAGUCGAGCAGGGACGAAAGUCGGUCUUAGUGAUCUGACGGUGCUGAGUGGAAAGGCCGUCACUCAACGGAUAAAAGUUACUCUAAGGAUAACAGGCUGAUCACCCCCAAGAGUUCACAUCGACGGGGAGGUUUGGCACCUCGAUGUCGGCUCAUCGCAUCCUGGGGCGGUAGUACGUCCCAAGGGUUGGGCUGUUCGCCCAUGAAAGCGGUACGCGAGCUGGGUUCAGAACGUCGUGAGACAGUUCGGUCCAUAUCCGGUGUAGGCGUUAGAAUAUUGAGAGGAGCCUUCUUUAGUACGAGAGGACCGAGAAGGACAUACCUCUGGUGUACCAGUUAUCGUGCCAACGGUAAACGCUGGGUAGCUAUGUGUGGAGUGGAUAACCGCUGAAAGCAUCUAAGUGGGAAGCCCACCUCAAGAUAAG
rnacentral:rRNA from 1 species